rnacentral:lncRNA from 1 species
AUGGUUGAUCAACGAUUAAUAAUCAUUCUAGGGUUAAACGAUCAAUACGAUUGACAUUUAACCUAGUGCAAGUGUUGCAGGAGGAUCGAUUAGCAAUUCAAUUGCUAAUUAGCUUAAUUUCAUUAAGCCAAAGGGCUAAGAUUAAGUCUAAUUAAAUAUGAUUUAAGUAGAUUUGGUUUGGACUUGAUUGGAUCAAGUCCAAUUGGUUUAUUGGAUAAGCCAAGUGCAAGAAAAAACUAGUCCUAGUUCAAUUAGGAC